rnacentral:tRNA from 1 species
CAAAGGGUAGCUUAAAACAAAGCACUCAACUUACAACUGAAAGACGUUAGUAAACAUAACCCCUUUGC